UUUUUGCGUUAAGGAUUGUAGUGAAAAUCCUUUUUGGCGAUUUUUCUUCGCCAAAAAGAUUGUAACGGAAAGCCUGACCCCGA
rnacentral:sRNA from 26 species